ensembl:misc_RNA 7SK 7SK RNA
GGAUGUGAGGGUGGUCUUGUCAUGACAUCUGUCACUCCGUUGGUCACCCAGGCUGGCUGGGCUGAUCUGGCUGGCUAGGUAGGGUCCCCUUCCUCCCUCAUUGCUAGCAUCCCUUCUGAAGCUGCAUUCUGGGUGGAAGAGAAUGACUUUCUCUGCCGGAGGAGGACCUUCCUUCUGCCAACAGUAUACGAUGAGCUGUGUCCCCCACCAGAAUCAACAGAAUUCGAUUAGCUGUGUUCCCUCCAGCUGUGUUCCCUCCAGCUAGUACAUCCAGAUCAGCUCUUAGGAGAGCUCAGCAGGGCCUCUCU